AUUGAACGCUGGCGGCAGGCCUAACACAUGCAAGUCGAACGAGUGGCGGACGGUUGAGUAAUGUCUGUGAAACUGCCAGAUGGAGGGGGAUAACUACUGGAAACGGUAGCUAAUACCGCAUACCAUCGGAUUUGCCCAGAUGGGAUUAGCUCGUAGGUGGGGUAACGGCUCACCUAGGCUACGAUCCCUAGCUGGUCUGAGCGGAUGACCAGCCACACUGGAAGUGAGACACGGUCCAGACUCCUACGGGAGGCAGCAGUGGGGAAUAUUGCACAAUUGGCGCAAGCCUGAUGCAGCCAUGCCGCGUGUCUGAAGAAGGCGUUCGGGUUGUAAAGUACUUUCAGCGAGGAGGCGUUACUCGAAGAAGAAGCACCGGCUAACUCCGUGCCAGCAGCCGCGGUAAUAC
rnacentral:rRNA from 1 species